rnacentral:rRNA from 1 species
UACGUAGGGUGCGAGCGUUGUCCGGAAUUAUUGGGAGUAAAGAGCUUGUAGGCGGUUUGUCGCGUCUGCUGUGAAAAUCCGGGGCUCAACCCCGGACUUGCAGUGGGUACGGGCAGACUAGAGUGUGGUAGGGGAGACUGGAAUUCCUGGUGUAGCGGUGAAAUGCGCAGAUAUCAGGAGGAACACCGAUGGCGAAGGCAGGUCUCUGGGCCACUACUGACGCUGAGAAGCGAAAGCAUGGGGAGCGAACAGG